UGCGUAGGCGGCGCGGAAAGUUGGGUGUGAAAUCCCUUGGCUUAACCAAGGAAUGGCGCUCAAAACUACCGUGCUUGAGGAAGACAGAGGUGAGCGGAACUUAGGGUGGAGCGGUGAAAUGCGUUGAUAUCCUAAGGAACACCGGUGGCGAAAGCGGCUCACUGGGUCUUUUCUGACGCUGAGGCACGAAAGCCAGGGUAGCGAACGGGAUUAGAUACCCCGGUAGUCCUGGCCGUAAACUCUGAGCACUUGACGGGAGACUCCUCCAUAGGUUUCCGGUCGUAGCGAAAGUGUUAAGUGCUCCGCCUGGGGAGUAUGGCCGCAAGGCUGAA
rnacentral:rRNA from 1 species